rnacentral:rRNA from 1 species
CAGCAGCCGCCGCGGUAAUACGAAGGGUGCAAGCGUUAAUCGGAAUUACUGGGCGUAAAGCGUGCGUAGGUGGUGGUUUAAGUCCGUUGUGAAAGCCCUGGGCUCAACCUGGGAAUUGCGGUGGAUACUGGGUCACUAGAGUGUGGUAGAGGAUAGUGGAAUUUCCGGUGUAGCAGUGAAAUGCGUAGAGAUCGGAAGGAACAUCUGUGGCGAAGGCGACUAUCUGGGCCAACACUGACACUGAGGCACGAAAGCGUGGGGAGCAAACAGGAUUAGAGACCCUAGUAGUCCCUGUCUCUUAUAC